rnacentral:rRNA from 1 species
UGGGGAUGACGUCAAGUCCUCAUGGCCCUUAUGGGUAGGGCUUCACACGUCAUACAAUGGUCGGUACAGAGGGUUGCCAAGCCGCGAGGUGGAGCCAAUCCCUUAAAGCCGAUCGUAGUCCGGAUCGUAGUCUGCAACUCGACUACGUGGAGUCGGAAUCGCUAGUAAUCGCAGAUCAGCAUGCUGCGGUGAAUACGUUCCCGGGUCUU